GAUGAGGUGACUGAGUGGUUAAGGUGAUGGACUGCUACUCCAUUGUGCUCAAAAUACGUGUGUUUGAAUCCCCUCCUUGUUG
rnacentral:tRNA from 1 species